GUGUACCCCAAAUUAUCUCAAACUUACUAUGUACUUCUGGAGUGCUUAGCGCAAGAUCGCAUGAAUUUCUUGUCAACACUAGAACCUAAUGUCUUUCUCUAUGUGCUGUCGUCCAUAUCUGAAGGACUUUCAGCUAUUGAUACGAUGGUGUGCGCGGGCUGCUGUGCAACUCUCGACCACAUAGUCACAUACCUCUUCAAAACAGUACAUCAGAAGAACACAAUGGUGUGCAGUGGUUGUUGUGCAACAUUGGAUCAUAUAGUCUCUUACCUGUACAAAGUACUGCAUAAUAAAAGUAAGUAAAUUGGUUUGUAAUUAUGCCCAAGACCUGCAUGUGUGAUGUUGUCCUUUUCCAGAUACGAUGGUUUGCACGAGCUGCUGCGCAACUCUCGACCACAUAGUCACAUACCUCUUCAAA